UCCCCCUUAUGUGAUAACUGACGUUGAGGGACGAAGGCUUUGUGUAGCGAACAGGAUUAGAUACCCCAGUAGUCAAAGCAGAAAAUGAUGAAUGUCAUAGAUUAGAUAAAUAAGUUUAUUYUAUAAAUGAAAGUGUAAGCAUUCCACCUCAAGAGUAAUUUGGCAACAUUGGAACUGAAAUCAUUAGACCGUUUUUGAAACCAGUAGUGAAGUAUGUUGUUUAAUUUGAUGAUCCGCAAAAAACCUUWCCMCAAUUUGAAUAUUUAUAUCUUUUAUUGUUUUUUUUUUAUUUUUCUUCUGAUUUUCAUUGUAUGAUUUUCUUCUUAUUCUAUAUGCAUGCACAUGCACAUGCAAAAGAAUAAGAAAAAAAAACAAUUGAUCAUUAUAUCAUAAUAAAAAGAGGCGAUAUGAUAUAUUUACAAGCGUUGCACGGCGGUCUUCAGUUAAUGUCGCGAGACU
rnacentral:rRNA from 1 species